AGUGGGGGUGGGGGGGGGGGGGUGUUCUGAGGAUCGGCCCGGGAUGACUAAUGGAGUUUGGGGUCAGGCAGGUCCUUGGCCACCCUGCCUACUGUCUGCCCCGCUCAGAGACACUCUAUUAAGUAGUCGCUCUGCUCCCGUAGUGGAAGAAAUCUUAUUCCGGGGGUCACCCACCCAAAACGAGGGAAAUGUUAGAAAAAACAAUAUGCUGCAAUCUGCGAGAGGCAAUAAGCUUCACUGGCCCCCGGCUCACAAUAACAUACCGCGUUCGUGAGGUUCACAUGGUUGUUUAUCAGCGCCAAUAACUCAACGUGAUUAAACUCAGAGCUUCAACUUUUCUUUCGGCCCCAAAAGCUCCUCGGCGCUGUUCACACCGGAGCCUCGCUCACUGUGGAAGUGGAAGAAGUCUGGCAAAGAUCGAGUGGUUUAUUACAAUCCCGGCGGGGGGGGGGGGGGGCCGCAGUGGUCUGCCCUGUCGCCAGUGCAACACGGAAAAAGGUGCGUUCACACCGGACGCGUUGCCAAAAUUUUCCCGGCGGGUAGAUCAGAUACAGAGUCAACGCAAAGACGCAAACUAGAUGUGAAUUUGUCGCGGCACUGACUCCUGGUGCGAUGCGCGCGAUGCAAAGUCAGGCCAAAUUCGCUGGGCGUCCAUCGCUCGGGGUUGAAGUAUCUGAACUCGGGGCGACGUAUUUGGCGAUAUCGAGCGUUGAGAGCCUCCCUCCGUCACCUGGCGUCAGGCGGCCUGUCCGUGUGUCAGGAGUGGGGACUGCACUCAAGUCGAAAGAUUUGAAUUUGAGGGCAGAUGCUCUUGAUGACGUGAAACGAAAGCCAUUUAGCGUUGAGAUCCUCCCGACGUCACCGCCUGCUCCAGGGUCGUUUCAAUUCACUCUCCCUGCGCUCAUAGCGCUGUAUUCAGCAGUCGACAUCGACAGACGAGUUUAUAGCAGCUAGCUGGUGUUAAAACUCACUGGAUCAUUCAGCCGCGGAAGAGCCAGAUAUUUCCCCGGGUAUAGCCAGAGACACACAAACGUGUAAAUCAUCUGCGAGGUCAACGUGUCAACUUCAGAAAUACGCGGCCGUGUUCACAACCUCGUUUCUGCUGCCCCCUAGUGGUAAAACAAAAACAUAUGCGGCCUGCAGUUUAGUAACUGAACAUAGGGAACGUUUCCACUCUCCUAUAGCUGAGAAGGGAGGAUUUACAAAAAGUGAAGUUCAAUACGACAGAGAGAACGGUGGAAUGACAACACACACACACACACACACACACACACACUGGUCUCCUGGCUGUCAAUCAGUUUUUAAUCUGAAAGACGAAGAAGACGGCGACGAAGACGGAGACAGAUGCAACCGGGGACUGAGAUCAGCCGUCCGCUAAUCUCCGGGCGAGAGACACUGAGCGAGAGACUGACAGCGAGGGAGAGCGAGUUUGUCUUUUCCGCCGCCCGCUCGUCUCGCCUCGCCGCUGUUACCAUGACAAUGGGCCGAACCCAGGAGUGGAGGGCUUGAGAUUCUCCCCGUUUCCCUGCUCUCUCUCUCUCUCUCUUCGACCCCCCCCCCGGUAAGCUCUCACUACCUCCCCCUCGUUUCCUCCGGUCAAACCUUUUACUUUUAUGUCAUCCCUAUUUUCCAUCCUUCCCUCCUUUAUAUUUCCCCGCUCACCUGGUCCUCCCUUCCAUCCCUGGCGUCCAGAUUCAAAUUUGGAAAUGUUGCCUCAUUGACAAAACCACAAUCAGCCGCCGCAUCGGCACAAAGUGGACGGCACAGAAGCGCGCGGCGCCGGCCGAGGCUCCCAUCGAUGCCGUUUCCUCAUUUCAUUCCGGACGCCGAGAGCAACAAGUACGCGAGGAUGUCAAAUAAAGAAAUAUGUUGAUUAAGAGAAUUGAAUGAGGAAAAUAAACUCCCCCCCCCCCCCCCAGAAAAUGAAUUACACAUCAUGGUCAACUCAUAGUUUUCAUAUCGCCACACACAAACGGUGAUUCAGUCAGUGAAAGGCUCACGUGGGGCGACUUUCAUCGGAAAGCCUUUGUCCCGCCCCCCAAAUGAAUUCCUCCAAACUUUGCGAUAAAAUAACUUGUUUGUCGCCGCCGACCACGACAGCCUGUGACGCCCCCGAGGAAGAUGCUAUGUCGAGUGAGGAGCGCGUGACGGCAGAAUAAAACAUAUGUCCCCUGUGUCGACAGGCGACGACGACGACGAUGUCAGGGAAGAAACAACAUAACGCCGCUGCUUCAGGAAAGGAGAUGGACUAUACGGGAGAAUCCCUAUACCGCUCUUGCUCCGCACACCGGCCUUCUUUCUCCUUAUUAGCGGCUCUUCUCACUCGAAGGCUUUCCACACGACUGGCCGCGGGAGUUAAUGUCGCCACAGCCUUCCUUAAGUAGAAGAAAGGUUUGGAACGCAGGGGAAAGGAAUUGGUGGUAUCGCUCCGUCAACCCCUUUCCAGUUUCAUCCGUCAGUCAAGGCAGUUAUCCUCCCGUUAAGACCGCGGACCGACCCCGAGGCUUGAUAUUCUGACACAGAGUGAGAAUCGAUACGGCGCACACACUGUAGUUAUCACAGCCGGGGGUUCGGCUGCUCACAAAGAGCUCCCACCGCUUGACUGGCACCACAAAGGGUCCGUACGCCGUCCGUAGCGCGCGGUGAGUCCACAUGUAGUCGGUUCCACAUCGUUCAUUCAGGCUGGAUCUGGCCACCGUGUCUCGGUACGUCACACGUUUGAGCUGCUUCGCAUAGGUUGCGAGUUCCGAAAUAGAUGAUGGAUGGCUACUGUGGGGUUGCCGAUCGAUUUGUCAACGCAACAGUUGAAAUUUAAAAAAUUCCUUCUCUUUUAACCGAUCAAUACUUCUCUUAUGGCCUGCCAAUAUUAGACGGGUCAAACUAGUCUAAACACUUCUCAUGAGCGUCAUUCCUUUCCCCUCGUCUGUCCAUUUGUAUUCAUGUAUAUGUAUAAUAUUAUGGGAUGGAUGUUUUGUUUUUUUAUUGUGUUUAUUACAUGAGUCCUUGGCAUCAUUUUCUGUGAUCUGAAGGUCGGACAGUGCUACUUGUUGAGUCCCUGUGAGGGUUUUCUUUGCGUCAGUUCUCCCUCACAUCCCCUUGUCUUCUGUUCAAUGUAUCAUUUCACAUCUUUUUUUCCCAACACGUGUAAAUAAAGAAAACAGCACGGACGCACAAGGACCGAAAGAUA